rnacentral:rRNA from 1 species
CUUGGCGACCAUAGCGUUUUGGACCCACCUGACUCCAUUCCGAACUCAGAAGUGAAACGAAAUAGCGCCGAUGGUAGUGUGGGGU